rnacentral:rRNA from 1 species
UACGAAGGGGGCUAGCGUUGCUCGGAAUCACUGGGCGUAAAGCGCACGUAGGCGGAUUGUUAAGUCAGGGGUGAAAUCCUGGAGCUCAACUCCAGAACUGCCUUUAAUACUGGCAAUCUCGAGUCCGAGAGAGGUGAGUGGAAUUCCGAGUGUAGAGGUGAAAUUCGUAGAUAUUCGGAGGAACACCAGUGGCGAAGGCGGCUCACUGGCUCGGUACUGACGCUGAGGUGCAAAAGCGUGGGGAGCAAACAGG